rnacentral:rRNA from 1 species
GUACGAAGGGGCUAGCGUUGUUCGGAAUCACUGGGCGUAAAGGGCGCGUAGGCGGCUUUAUAAGUCGGGGGUGAAAGCCUGUGGCUCAACCACAGAAUUGCCUUCGAUACUGUAUGGCUUGAGACCGGAAGAGGUUAGUGGAACUGCGAGUGUAGAGGUGAAAUUCGUAGAUAUUGGGAAGAACACCCGGUGGCGAAGGCGGGCACC